rnacentral:rRNA from 1 species
AUUGAACGCUGGCGGCAUGCCUUACACAUGCAAGUCGAACGGCAGCGGGGACUUCGGUCCGCCGGCGAGUGGCGAACGGGUGAGUAAUGUAUCGGAACGUACCUUUCAGUGGGGGAUAACGUAGCGAAAGUUACGCUAAUACCGCAUAUUCUGUGAGCAGGAAAGCAGGGGAUCGCAAGACCUUGCGCUGAUUGAGCGGCCGAUAUCAGAUUAGCUAGUUGGUGAGGUAAAGGCUCACCAAGGCGACGAUCUGUAGCGGGGCUGGGAGGAUGAUCCGCCACACUGGAACUGAGACACGGUCCAGACUCCUACGGGAGGCAGCAGUGGGGAAUUUUGGACAAUGGGGGCAACCCUGAUCCAGCCAUGCCGCGUGAGUGAAGAAGGCCUUCGGGUUGUAAAGCUCUUUCGGCCGGGAAGAAAUCGCAUGGGUUAAUACCCUGUGCGGAUGACGGUACCGGCAUAAGAAGCACCGGCUAACUACGUGCCAGCAGCCGCCGUAAAAC